rnacentral:rRNA from 1 species
GACGAACGCUGGCGGCGUGCCUAAUACAUGCAAGUAGAACGCUGAAGGAGGAGCUUGCUUCUCCGGAUGAGUUGCGAACGGGUGAGUAACGCGUAGGUAACCUGCCUGGUAGCGGGGGAUAACUAUUGGAAACGAUAGCUAAUACCGCAUAACAGUAGAUAUUGCAUGAUAUCUGCUUGAAAGGUGCAAUUGCAUCACUACCAGAUGGACCUGCGUUGUAUUAGCUAGUUGGUGAGGUAACGGCUCACCAAGGCGACGAUACAUAGCCGACCUGAGAGGGUGAUCGGCCACACUGGGACUGAGACACGGCCCAGACUCCUACGGGAGGCAGCAGUAGGGAAUCUUCGGCAAUGGACGGAAGUCUGACCGAGCAACGCCGCGGGAGUGAAGAAGGUUUUCGGAUCGUAAAGCUCUGUUGUAAGAGAAGAACGAGUGUGAGAGUGGAAAGUUCACACUGUGACGGUAUCUUACCAGAAAGGGACGGCUAACUACGUG